GGAGGGGGGUGGAAGCCGAAGCCAGCAAAGGGGGAAACUGAACUACAGAGGUAGCUCGACGGAAGCCUCCGCUGGAGCCCCACGGAGAGCUCUGGAGCUGGGUUGACCCUUCGGAGUGGCUCGCAGGGGUGAGCUGGAGGGGUAAGCCUCCAGACGCGGGCGUGGACCAGCCUCGGGCGUGGGCUGCUCCAGAAGCCGGCUUGGCCCUGGGCAGGGCGGUUUCUUCAGCCUUGGGGAGGGGCUGAAGGCCACUUUCCAGCAGCCCAAAGUGUAUGGAUGGGGGAACCCGGCCACCACCCCCUUGCCUCCCCCGGAGGCCAGCCUGGCCUCCUUUCCUGUUUCAUCUCCUCCCAUUCUUCCUGCUACCCCUCCUCUCAUCCCUCUUUUCUUCCCUCUUCCCUGCAGGAACUAUCCCAGAGGUUUUCAAAAUUUUAAAGGCCGUCCAAUCCGGCGGGCCAGUGCAAGUUUACAAUCAGCGAAACCGCCCUAAUGGAGGCACAAGCCUGGUUCUGAAGGGUGGAGUCAGAGUCAUCAGGAAACAGAGGGUUCUCAGCCAGCAGUAUCAUGCUUACCUGUAUCAGAUGAAAAACAACUUGUUUUGAGAGCACGCACUCCUGAGAUCUUCGGGCUCUUCCUUCCGGCUGAUGAAAUUAAUUUUGAAGGUAGGAGGAAUCGAGGAGGAGGCUGGGAAUGGGUCA
rnacentral:lncRNA from 1 species